rnacentral:rRNA from 1 species
AUUGAACGCUGGCGGCAGGCCUAACACAUGCAAGUCGAGCGGAUGAAGGGAGCCUGCUCCUGGAUUCAGCGGCGGACGGGUGAGUAAUGCCUAGGAAUCUGCCUGGUAGUGGGGGAUAACGUCCGGAAACGGGCGCUAAUACCGCAUACGUCCUGAGGGAGAAAGUGGGGGAUCUUCGGACCUCACGCUAUCAGAUGAGCCUAGGUCGGAUUAGCUAGUUGGUGGGGUAAAGGCCUACCAAGGCGACGAUCCGUAACUGGUCUGAGAGGAUGAUCAGUCACACUGGAACUGAGACACGGUCCAGACUCCUACGGGAGGCAGCAGUGGGGAAUAUUGGACAAUGGGCGAAAGCCUGAUCCAGCCACGCCGCGUGUGUGAAGAAGGUCUUCGGAUUGUAAAGCACUUUAAGUUGGGAGGAAGGGCAGUAAGUUAAUACCUUGCUGUUUUGACGUUACCAACAGAAUAAGCACCGGCUAACUUCGUG